CUCACUACUUAAGUUCCUUCCUCUCUGUUGUUCUUUGUCUGGUCUCGUCAGUUUUAUGCCCUUCAUGUUUGGAUUUAUGGUGUGGACUCCACUUUGAAAUCUCUAAUCAUCGUACAAUGCUCUCAACCCAAGUAAACACUUGAGGAAAGGCACUGCUGGUGUUUCUCUAUAUUUGGGCCUGAUCCUGUGAGCUGAUGGAAGUGAAGGAGGAGAGUGAAGAACUGAGUGAAGUGGAG